UCAAGUCUGCUCUCAGUCCCACGAAGAAGAACAACUUCCGGUAGCACUUGAGGUUAGCAUCACAGAAACACAGGAAUGGCUGAACCUCCUAAAAGACGAUAUUCAUCUGCAUCCCGAAGGACCGCUCCCGACAAGAAACCGCGUUCAACGGCAAAGAAAAGAAGCGACACGAGUAAAUCUGGAUGUGUCUUCCCGCCGCUGGAGAAGCUGCUGAGAGGAAAGAGAUGCGGUUUGAUGCCGAGCUCGCAACUUUCCUGUUAGCCCGGAGAUUUCAGCAUCCCUCUGUCUUCAUCAGGACCUGAGCCAGUACAGGUGCAAUACCGCCUCCACCUGUCUCACCAACGGCAGAGAGUCCAGACACAGUGAGGAGGGUCCAGGACCAGAAGUCCGGUCUAAUCUUCACCAAUGAUGAUCCAGCACCUGCCUUUUCUUCUGCAUCUGGCCUCAUCAAUCAUCAACCACAUUACAUCAACACCUUGAGAAUCCACCUCAGGCCAGAACCACACCUUGCUGUUGCCAAAACCAGCAAAAAACGGAACUCAUUGUGAUGAAGUAAUGAGGAACUACUCAGUAACAACUGUUUAUCACUUCACUGACCAAAGCUCUACAAAUAGUAAACUACCAGGUGACAAAGAAGCUGCUGGUACUGCUCCUGUUCUGUUGGUGUGUUGGCUUUCCAGGAUGGCGGCCGGAUGAUGACGCCACAUCUUGGGGGUGGACCCCUUGAGGUGCCUGUUGUCUCAUUGAGGCAUAGCGGUCCUCGCUGGAGGGGAAGCACAGGAUGCUCGGCCUGACUGUUGCCAAGGUGAUCCAGAGGAUCUCCUGGGAGGAGUGGAGUCUCCACUGUUGGAGGAGGACACAUGGGGCAGAGGAGACGCUCCUCCUCAUCCAGGAUCUCCACGUCUCCCUGGACGUCUCUUUGCUGGAUUCUCUCUGCAUCCAGGACAUAUGGAGACACAGAGGAGCCUCAGCUGCAUUCAGGACCCAGCAGGUGCAGCUGUACAGAGACUGGUAGACUGACAGAGGGCGGGGUCAGCCUUCUGGUUUCCACCUUAACCACUUCAUCCCAGCCAGUGCCAAGUACUUCCAAGCUCCUGACAACACCUGCCAGACAGAGCAGGAGGAAGAGCGAGUUCUUCCCUCCCAGAGACCAGGAGAGGCAGCCCAGGUGACAGUUCAAGGCAGCGACGGGGGAGAACACCUCCUGUCCUGGGAAGGAGAGUCUCCAGAGCUGUCUUCUUGGACUGAACUCGGGCCCUGCAAACUGGGCCAGUGUUAGCCGCCUGGUGGAGGCCGUUUGCAACCAGCUCUGCGUCUUCACCCGGUGGCCACGUGGUCCAGAGGGACCGUGAGGACUCGCUGGUCAUUCAUUCUCAAGCAUUAUGUGGCAUCAGAGAGGCAGUGCUGGCCGGCCCCAGGUUGAUGGCUCAGACCAACAUCCAGCUCUUUGAAUUGAAUCGAGGACUCAGUGGUGCUGGCCAGACUCUCCCUUCAGCAAAGGGUCUGUUCUUGGUCCAGGUGGGACAAGGACAGACCUUUAACUUCAAUGUCCCAGAGGAGCAGCCUGGCCCCUCCAGCAGGGGUCUGCCCUCUCCUCCUCCUCCUCCUCCUCCUCCUCCUCCCCUCUAGACGAUGAACAGCAUGGCCCCUCAUCCAGUGCUGUUAGUCCUCCCCUCACUCCAGCACCACUCCCCUCUUCUGUUCAUCCACCUCCUCUGCCUGGACCACCUGUACCCAGGACCAGAGCCUACAGGAAGAGGAAGGCGGCCCAAAGCUGCUGUGGCAGAGCGGGGGCCGCUGCCUGGAGGAAAAACCCGCUGACCGGCGCACACUCUUUAGUGUGAACUGAACACUGACAGUUCAGAUUGUGAAGCAGGUGUCAGUGUAGUACAGCUCAUGUACAUUAGUUUUAUUCAGAACUUAAUUGUUGUCAUUGAAAAGAUGUCUAAUAAAUAAACCUGUG